rnacentral:rRNA from 1 species
GAUGAACGCUAGCGGCAGGCCUAAUACAUGCAAGUCGAACGAUAUUAUCCAGCUUGCUGGAUAUGAAAGUGGCGCACGGGUGCGUAACGCGUAUGCAACCUACCUUAUUCAGGGGGAUAGCCCGAAGAAAUUCGGAUUAACACCGCAUAAAAUCACAGUUCAGCAUUGGACAAUGAUCAAAUAUUUAUAGGAAUAAGAUGGGCAUGCGUGUCAUUAGCUAGUUGGCGGGGUAACGGCCCACCAAGGCGACGAUGACUAGGGGAUCUGAGAGGAUGGCCCCCCACACUGGUACUGAGACAAGGACAAGACUCCUACGGGAGGCAGCAGUAAGGAAUAUUGGUCAAUGGAGGGAACUCUGAACCAGCCAUGCCGCGUGCAGGAAGACGGCCCUCUGGGUUGUAAACUGCUUUUAUUCGGGAAUAAACCUACUUACGUGUAAAUAGCUGAAUGUACCGAAGGAAUAAGGAUCGGCUAACUCCGUGCCAGCAGCCGCAGUAA